UUCUCUAGAAUUGGUUGAGAUAUAGGGCGUCGCGGUAACUCCUCCAUUCAUCGCAGAGAAAAGUAUUUUCUUAAAGACGCAGUAAAAAAGGAUUUCUUGUAAGAAGGGAAAUAUACAUAGAUGCCCUAUUUUAACUUUAUGUUAAGCACUUUACAGGAUACCAGCUGUAAUCGAACGAGAGGAAUAUUUUGUGUCACAUCCUCAAGAAGAAAUGGCAAAACUGUUCCGAGCUGUGAUUUUGGGUCCUCCUGGCUCGGGUAAAGGGACAAUAUCCGAAAGAAUUGCACAAAGCUUUGGCUUGUUACAUCUAUCCAGCGGCGACUUUCUCCGCGAGAAUAUAGCAGCAAAUACAGAGGCUGGAGUUUUGGCCAAGACCUACAUAGACAGAGGUGUUCUGGUGCCUGACCAUGUGAUGACUCGACUGUUGCUUCCCAGAUUGGAGCAGAUGACCAGCCAUAGCUGGUUGCUGGAUGGGUUCCCCCGUACCCUGGCCCAGGCCCAAGCCCUGAACAGCAGCUGUGAUGUGGACGUGGUCAUCAGCCUAAACAUUCCCUAUGAGACGCUGAAGGAGAGGCUGACCCACCGCUGGGUCCAUCCAGCCAGUGGGAGGGUCUACAACAUGGGCUUCAACCCUCCACGAGUUCAGGGGAGAGAUGACAACACUGGUGAGCCACUCAUCCAGUAUGACGAUGACAAAGCGGAUGCCCUGGUGGCCAGACUGAGGUACUACAAGGAUGUGGCCAAGCCUGUCAUAGAUCUGUACAAGUGAGUCCAUCCUCUUCAGCAGUGUCUCAGAAAGUUAGGGUACUAACCAACGGCCCUAACUUACAGUAUUGUAUCCCACCCAAGGGCGAAGGGCAUCCUGCACUCUGUCUCAGGAACGGAGACAGAUCGGAUGUGGCCCUACAUCAGCUCCCUCCUUAACACCAGGAUCCAGCCUCAGAACACUAUCCCUGUCAGCGUACCAGCCC